GUAUUAAAGCAUAGAUUAAGAAUAACAACAAAAAAUUGUAAUGCUUUCAUUUCUCUAUAAUAGGUAUAGAGUUUAUUUUAAGUACAGCAAAACUUCUUUAUGUGAUUUGGACGCAUUAAUUAAUAACAAAGGUCCCCAAAUGAAAUUAUGUUUGUGCUUGAGGGUUGCUAUCAGACAUUAAACUUUGAAGGACGGGUCAUACAAAAUUGAAGUGAAGAAAUGGCAACGGCAGCACUAAAACAAAAUGUUCAACAGCCGAGAGACGGCAUGAUUUUUUAAUGCACUGGCAAAUAAUUUGUCCGUAAGGUGCCUUACCUACUCCGACUGCCAGCAUACCUUUUUCUGUUUUGUUUUUGUUUUUUCUGUUUUUGGUGGGUGCCCCUUUUGGGUCAAGCGCUUUGGCGUGACCAAGCUCAAGAAAUCGGAAUUGACUUUUAUGUUGGUCAUAAAAAGGAUUUUAAUGUGUUUUAUGCGCGCCAACGCAAAGUCAACAGGCCGCAUGGCUGACCACGCACAUGCCAAGGCCAACGGAGAAUAUACUCGUAGUCGUAUAACUUGGCCUACACAUAAAUCCACGAAAAAUACCAAAGAAGCUGCCCAAAACGGAAUUACGCGACUCUGCGUGUGUGCUGGCGAUAUACCACUUGGGAUACGCGUCAACGUUCGCAAUUUGCUGGAGGACAUUCAUUUCGAGUACACACACAUGACAUGCCACAUGGAACGGCACAGCACGAGCUGCACAACGUUCUACCACCUGGCUGUGCCACCUGGCGUAUGAGUGACGCAUGGCUCAACAUUUGUUAUGGCUUACGAUCUAUUCCAAGGCCUCCCACCAUCCCAUCCCUGGGAAUCGUCUCAAGUUGAAGCUUUUUUAUUACCUGUUUCCUGUUUGUGUUGCCUUGUCUCUCAGCCUGUCAAAAUUUAUGCUAUAAAAUUUCCCGUGUAAAACUAACGUCAAGUAUACGCCCGCGUGGCCGAGCCAACAUUCUUGCUGUGAGCCUUCCCUUUUUUGGCCAGGCUCGGCAUUGUUAGCUUUGCUCGCUUCAUUUUUCAAAAUGAUUUCU